AAUCUUAAUAGUUUAUAAAAACAUCAUAUUGUGGUUGUGAAGAUGAUUUUCUUAGGGUU
rnacentral:tRNA from 1 species